GCCUGGGUGGCCCAGUUGGUUGGGCAUCUGACUUCGGCUCAGGUCAUGAUCUCACCCUUUCUGGGUUCAAGCCCCGUGUUAGGCU
rnacentral:tRNA from 1 species